AAGAAUGAAGUUUCCCCAACAACACUAUUUGGAUCACUCAAGUUACUUAGAGUUCCUUGACUUGUUUAUGAGCAGUUCUUCAUAGAUGGUGCCAAUGUAGUGUGGGACCUAAAGGUGUAGAAGAAAUUACACAAAUGUGGGCAAGGCAAGCUUAUGUUGCUUAGCAUAUAUUAUGUUUUCGAUGCAACUAAAUGAAGUAAAUAUAAAACAAAAACAAAAAGACGUAAAAGUCCACUGCCUGAGAUGGGCAAAUAUGUAUUCCACUAGUUGGUGCUUUCAAUCUCCUAUUCAGAUGAGUCCAUAACUUCCACUGCACGGGUAACAGCCGGAAAACUGAGGCUUGGACAAUUCUGAACGGCUAACCCCCAAGUCCUAUAGGACCUCUUCACAGGAAUUAACAACAGAAAGGGCAAGCUGCAAGUUAAUGGCCACUUUUGUGCCAUCCCAUGUUCGUAAGAGGAGUAAGUCUAGAGCCAGUAAAAACUACUUAAAAAGGGUUUACGGAAGAGGGACUAGAAGAUUGUAAAGCUAGAUACUGCUACAGGAAGUGGGGAUGAUAACCUUAGUUUGUGUAAUAAUCAGCAAAAGAAAGAAAAUAAAUAUAUGAGCAAAUCUCUUUGCUCACUUCACUCAAGGCCUAAGCCAGUAUUAGCAUUAGAGGAACACAUACAUGAAUGCUGCAUGUGUGCAUGGAAGCAAAUGAUCAGCAAUAGUAAACUUUCCCAAAAGCCUUAUUAAAAUAGAAUAUUAGGAAAUUACUCGUAGACCUAAGUUAAUACUUCUCAUACAUAUGUAUAAAGAAAUACAGUUAAGAAACUCACCUCAGUAUUUCAGGGCCACAAGUGCUCUAUUAUCUUUGCAAAGGAAGAAUGAAGAAGAAUGGCAAAAUCCAAGCAGCAAGGAGAAAUGGUGUCUCAAUCCCAGGCUUUGUCUUCUUCCCUUAUCCUGCACGCACAGUAACUGCUACCUGGCAAACUGCAACCAUGCGAAUUCCAAGUCUCACUUCUCUCUUGCCAACUACACUCUGCACGAAGUAUCCAGCAAGAGGUGAGAUGGCUAUAGCAUCAAGUCAAGAGAAGUUAGCACCACUCUUGUUAAGUCACUUGCCCUCUCCGGGCGCCUUUAUUACCCACACAUGAAAGAAGAGAGACAGAGAGUGGGAGCAGAGCGCUAACAACUCUCCAAGUGUAGCACUACAUUUCAAGUACAUAGUUCAGUCAGGCAUACAGAGGAGAAGGGGAAGGGCAAAGACGUGAUUAAGUAUGGUGACAGCAGCAGCCUUCACAUAGCUAAGAGUUAGCACUAGGACAUUUCGAUCAUGCAGAGCAACUGUUAGGAACUUCCAACAUUCACAAACAGAUUUGCGGUCAGCCUCAACACGUGUGCUGUGCAUUCUAUAGACGAUUUGGAAAGAUCUGCUCACUUAUUUUUCAAAAUGAAAUUUUCACUCCAGUAAAUUAAUAUGUAUACAAAUCAGACAAAGAAAACACAGUUACUGUACAAUAGUGUGAGAGACUAUGAAAUGGCAAUACUUUUUUAAACCACAGAUUUGUAAUAUAUUUGUUCACUGUGCAGAGGAUGUACCUUAUACAAAAUAAAAUGGAU
ensembl:lncRNA